CGGGGAAUGGCGCAGACUGGUAGCGCGCUGCGUUCGGGUCGCAGAGGUCCAGGGUUCAAAUCCCUGUUCCCCGA
rnacentral:tRNA from 1 species